rnacentral:lncRNA from 1 species
UGCCGUAUGCACGCGAACCCAUUUUUAUUCUACUGCAAAUUUCCUUCUCGUGAUCAGGGUCCCCUGUGAUUAAUUGACCUAG